GUAGUCUCGCACAGAUGCAUAUCAAUAAGCGGAGGAAAAGAAACUAACAAGGAUUCCCCUAGUAACGGCGAGUGAAGCGGGAAGAGCUCAAAUUUGAAAUCUUAAAGGGUUUCCCCUUACGAAUUGUAGUUUAAAGAAGUGUUUUCUGUUGAGGUUUUGGUAAAAGUUCUUUGGAAUAGGACAUCAUAGAGGGUGAGAAUCCCGUAUUUGACCUUUACUUUCAACUUUGUGAUACACUUUCAAAGAGUCGGAUUGUUUGGGAAUGCAGUCCAGAAUGGGUGGUAAAUUUCAUCUAAAGCUAAAUAUUGGCGAGAGACCGAUAGCGAACAAGUACCGUGAGGGAAAGAUGAAAAGAACUUUGAAAAGAGAGUUAAACAGUACGUGAAAUUGUCAAAAGGGAAGCGUUUGACACCAGUGUUGUUUUUCUGAAAAUCAAUUAAAGAACUGUUUAUGCUAAGCUGUUUAGACUUUAUCAGCUAUCUGUUUAGUUUUGAGCUUUUCUUUAAUGCACUUUUCAGUUAACAAGUCAACAUCAAUUUCUUUUGCUGUAAAAAAGCUUGAGGAAGGUGGCUUGAGAUUCGUCUUAAGUGUUUAUAGCCUCUUGCCUAUGCAGUCGGAGAGAUUGAGGUCUGCAGCGUAGAUCCUUCGGGGCUAAAUGCAUUUGUGCUAAGUUAUAGCAUUUCAUAGACAACUUGUUGACUAUGAUUUGUCUUGUAGCUUACUCGCUUAUGUUAUUUUACCUACGCUUAGGAUGUUGACAGCAGUAUAGACUGU
rnacentral:rRNA from 1 species